UACGGAAGGUCCGGGCGUUAUCCGGAUUUACUGGGUGUAAAGGGAGCGCAGGCGGUAUGGCAAGUCAGAUGUGAAAACCCAGGGCUCAACCCUGGGACUGCAUUUGAAACUGCCAUACUGGAGUGCCGGAGAGGUAAGUGGAAUUCCUAGUGUAGCGGUGAAAUGCGUAGAUAUUAGGAGGAACACCAGUGGCGAAGGCGGCUUACUGGACUGUAACUGACGUUGAGGCUCGAAAGCGUGGGGAGCAAACAGG
rnacentral:rRNA from 1 species